GUGAGGAAUAUUGCGCAAUGGAGGCAACUCUGACGCAGCCAUGCCGCGUGCAGGAAGAAGGCGCUACGCGUUGUAAACUGCUUUUAACCGGGAAGAAACCCCAGGACGUGUCCUGGGUUGACGGUACCGGAGGAAUAAGCACCGGCUAACUUCGUGCCAACAGCCGCGGUAAUACGAAGGGUGCAAGCGUUAUCCGGAUUCAUUGGGUUUAAAGGGUGCGUAGGCGGAGCGUUAAGUCAGUGGUGAAAUCCUGCAGCUUAACUGUAGACUUGCCAUUGAUACUGGCGCUCUUGAGUGCGCUUGAAGUGGGCGGAAUGUGCCGUGUAGCGGUGAAAUGCUUAGAUAUGGCACAGAACACCAAUUGCGAAGGCAGCUCACUAAGGCGAUACUGACGCUGAGGCACGAAAGCGUGGGGAUCGAACAGGAUUAGAUACCCUUGUAGUCC
rnacentral:rRNA from 1 species